rnacentral:rRNA from 1 species
UGGGGAAUCUUGCCCAAUGGGCGCAAGCCUGAGGCAGCGACGCCGCGUGAGGGAUGACGGCCUUCGGGUUGUAAACCUCUUUCAGCAGGGACGAAGCGAAAGUGACGGUACCUGCAGAAGAAGCACCGGCUAACUACGUGCCAGCAGCCGCGGUAAUACGUAGGGUGCAAGCGUUGUCCGGAAUUAUUGGGCGUAAAGAGCUCGUAGGCGGCCUGUCGCGUCUGCUGUGAAAACCCGGAGCUUAACUCCGGGCCUGCAGUGGAUACGGGCAGGCUAGAGCGCGGUAGGGGAGACUGGAAUUCCUGGUGUAGCGGUGGAAUGCGCAGAUAUCAGGAGGAACACCGGUGGCGAAGGCGGGUCUCUGGGCCGUUGCUGACGCUGAGGAGCGAAAGCGUGGGGAGCGAA